rnacentral:siRNA from 1 species
GGGUCGAUGCCCGAGCGGUUA